AUAAAUUCGAUGAAGAGAAAGAGUACGUGUUCGACUGAUCCGACAGAGAGUUGGGAUUGCUGAAAACCAACGUUCAGGCGAUAACGGAAAGCCAUCUCCGAGAAGCGGGCUGAAUUACAGUAGGCUUUGCCGCUAUUCCAGCGUUAACCGGAACACAUAUUGAUGGAUAUGUGAACAAAGUGCUGUUGCCUAUGGCAGCGGAACUAGGGUGGUAACACGGGUGGAGACUCGUCCCUUUA
rnacentral:ncRNA from 1 species